ensembl:lncRNA
UGGGCCUUGACCAGGGACAGAGGCAUGUUUUGUGUGAAAACAAUGGUUGCAUUUUCCCCAGGAAACAGCGCCCAGUUACCAGGCCACUUUGUCUUGGCAGGGCCUCCUAUCCCAGGGUGGACUCUGGCCCACACCAGGGUUGUGUCUCCGUCACCCUGUCACGGCAAGAAAAGGAGAAAACACCCAAGACGUGAAGCAGGCUUGCCUGUUCCUACCUGCCCUGCAAGCUCUUCUCUGCCCCAAGCCCCCAACUCUGUCCUCUGAGUUUCUCUUUACCCCAGACUUGGCUCUUGUCCUGGUGAGGGUGUGUUCUCUGAGUCCCAGAGAGUGAGUGGCAUUCGGAGACAGUCUGAGGACACAGAAUUACGAAAUCAUACUCAGGAAACCACCCAGAGGCAAGUGCUUGGAAAGGCUCCUGUUUUCAUUCCUUCUCCCGCUCUACCUCUAUAUAAUAGUCUUAUGUUAUUUUCUCUUUAUUUACAGUUUAAGACAACGGCAUCAAUCCAUGCAAAGUCUCAUUUCUUUCCAAGACUCUAUGCCUGUUUCAACUCCAUUUUCCAGAGGCACUCACGCUUAUAUGCUAUGCGCUAUAAAUGUGGCCAAGUUCCUGGGUGUGGCUGCUCUUUUCCACUGUUGAAUUCUUCUAGGGUUUGCAUAAAUAAAAAAAUUCAUGGAGCAGGUUCCUGUACUAAGGCUGCUUGGAAAAUUCAUGGACUUUUUGGGAAAACAAUCUGGUUUUUUUCUAAAUAAGGAGAAAAUACCAGAAUGAUUAAUCCAGGCGAGGUCUCACAUAAUCUGUGAAUUAAUUCUUUCCUAUUUCUCUUUUAUUCGGUAGUAGUGUGGACUUGUUGAUAACAUGAAUUGAAGUCUGGAUUCCUCUUGCACUCUGCCACAAAUAUCCUCUACUCAAUAAAAGGUUUACAGUGGUGUCUGAGCCCCUUUACAUUUCAUGUAAAAUGACAGGAUUGGAUUGGAUGACUCGAGGUCCCUUCCACAUCAGCUCUCCCAUCAUGCCAGAAUUACCCAGCAUUGCACCACCCCUUCACUCCUGGCCCUGAUCCUAAAAACAAAGGGGAUUUGUCAGGAAAGGCAGGGAUUUAUCAGUGUUUUUCUUGUAAGAGAACAUGCACAGCUGUAGAAAACCUUCACUAUUCCCCACCAUCUGUGGUUGGAAAAACUUUAUCAACAGUUUAGAUUUUUAAAAUUAAAAUAUCCCCUUAACCUGCUGUGAUAUGAUCUACAGUGACAAGCUGGCCUUUAGAAAUUCUCCUACAAUGGCCAGGUAGAGGGUUGGCUUGGCCACAGCAGGGCACAGCUCCAUUCUGGCUGUUGACUCAGAGCCUCUCUCUAGGAUCCUCAGGCAGCGUGCUGUCAAUCAACUUCUGCAGGAUCACUGACACUAGCCAUGAUUUAUUAGACUUAGCAUUCAUUAUGUCUUUUUCUUUUCCUUAUUCACUCUAUUUUUGCCCCAACUAGUUUUCAAGUUAGGUAACCACCAUAAACAGUUUGUAGUUUGUUCCUGUCGUACCUUAAAUUUCUUAAAAAUGCAAUUGUGAAGUAUUCGAUUUGUUCCAAGUACUAUACAAAUAUUCUUACAGGCUAUGAAUGUGUAAGUGUAAUGUGUGGAUGUGGCUAUGUUAUGGUUACAGAUCUUAUAGAAAUAUCACUGCUGAGGUACAAUAUAAGACGAAUACCAUAAAUAUGCCAUGACCCAAGCCAAGGAACCUCCUCUGGGCUCUUCCAUCUCGAUAUUCGAACAUCACACUCCCAUCCCAACCUACUUCUGAAAUAUCUCCCAAAUCCGUCCACAUUCCUCAUUUUCAAUGCUGCCAUUCUGGUUUCAGCAAUUAUCAUGUUUUUGCCUGGACUACCCAUUGGUCUGCUAACUAACUGGUCUCUUA